ACUCGAGUGGCGAACGGGUGAGUAACACGUGGGUGAUCUGCCCUGCACUUCGGGAUAAGCCUGGGGAACUGGGUCUAAUACCGGAUAGGAGCCAUUUUUAGUGUGAUGGUUGGAAAGUUUUUCGGUGUAGGAUGAGCUCGCGGCCAAUCAGCUUGUUGGUGGGGUAAUGGCCUACCAAGGCGGCGACGGGUAGCCGGCCUGAGAGGGUGUACGGCCACAUUGGGACUGAGAUACGGCCCAG
rnacentral:rRNA from 1 species